rnacentral:rRNA from 1 species
UACGUAGGGGGCUAGCGUUGUCCGGAUUUAUUGGGCGUAAAGAGCGUGUAGGCGGCCAUGUAGGUCCGGUGUGAAAACUCGAGGCUCAACCUCGAGAUGUCGGCGGAAACCACUUGGCUAGAGUCCGGAAGAGGAGAGUGGAAUUCCCGGUGUAGCGGUGAAAUGCGCAGAUAUCGGGAAGAACACCUAUGGCGAAGGCAGCUCUCUGGGACGGUACUGACGCUGAGACGCGAAAGCGUGGGGAGCAAACAGG